UACAGAGGGUGCGAGCGUUGUCCGGAAUCACUGGGCGUAAAGGGCGCGUAGGUGGCGAGCCAAGUCCAUGGUGAAAGCUCGAUGCUCAACAUCGAGUCGGCCACGGAUACUGGUGCGCUUGAGCACUGUAGAGGCUAAUGGAAUUCCGGGUGUAGCGGUGGAAUGCGUAGAGAUCCGGAAGAACACCGGUGGCGAAGGCGGUUAGCUGGGCAGUUGCU
rnacentral:rRNA from 1 species